GUUAGCCGCCAUGUAAUGUGAUGUCAUAAACUCGACGGGCGACAACAUCAAAGUUGACUUACACAUGAGUUGUAGGCCAACAUCAGAUGUUAAGUGUUGUUAUGUAACUUUUUUCUUAGUAAAGAUAGGAAAUAGAGACUUCCUGAAUAGGACUGAAAGAAGAAAGCCUACUUAUCGAUGAUGAAUCGGAUGAAAAGUCCCUUGGAAGCACAAGACCCACGCCAUAUAUUGGAUAGCAGCAUUGUUAUGCUACUGAAAAAAAAAAAAAAAAAAAAA